rnacentral:rRNA from 1 species
UACGUAGGGUGCAAGCGUUGUCCGGAAUUAUUGGGCGUAAAGAGCUCGUAGGCGGUUCGUCGCGUCGGCUGUGAAAACCCGGGGCUCAACUCCGGGCCUGCAGUCGAUACGGGCUGGCUUGAGUGCGGUAGGGGAGACUGGAAUUCCUGGUGUAGCGGUGAAAUGCGCAGAUAUCAGGAGGAACACCGGUGGCGAAGGCGGGUCUCUGGGCCGUAACUGACGCUGAGGAGCGAAAGCGUGGGGAGCGAACAGA